rnacentral:rRNA from 1 species
GACGAACGCUGGCGGCGUGCUUAACACAUGUAAGUCGAACGGAAAGGCACUGCUUGCAGGGUAAUAGAGUGGAGAAAGGGUGAGUAAAAAGUGGGUGAUUUGGAAUGUACUUAGGGAUAAGCCUGGGAAAAUGGGUCUAAUACCGGAUAGGAGCCAUUUUUAGUGUGAUGGUUGGAAAGUUUUUUCGGUGUAGGAUGAGCUCGCGGCCUAUCAGCUUGUUGGUGGGGUAAUGGCCUACCAAGGCGGCGACGGGUAGCCGGCCUGAGAGGGUGGACGGCCACAUUGGGACUGAGAUACGGCCCAGACUCCUACGGGAGGCAGCAGUGGGGAAUAUUGCACAAUGGGCGCAAGCCUGAUGCAGCGACGCCGCGUGGGGGAUGACGGCCUUCGAUUUGUAAACUCCUUUCGCUAGGGACGAAGCUUUUGUGACGGUACCUAGAUAAGAAGCACCGGCUCCCUACGUU